CCUAAUCCUAAACCUUGCUGUAACCUUAAACUGACUUCCUUUACAGGACAUCUCCGAGCAACUCUCCUCGGUCAGUGUGCUUGCAGGUAUAGGGAGAAGAGAUCAGGUAACCAACCAGAGCACAAAGCAGGAACUCUUAUUGGUGUUUUAAUGGGCUUGUCUGUGCUUCAAUCACACGAGUGGCAAAUAAUUUCAUUGAUAAAAAAAUAACAAAACAAGAAUACAGCUAUUCAACAAGCAAAUUGAAGCAGCGCUCUUACUUCUGUUAGCUUGCACAACAACUUCAUUCAUUCAUUUUCAUGAAUUGAGCAAUUUUGGAUUGGUAACGUCAUGUCUUAUAAUUCCUUUAGUCAGGGGUUUACGGAAUGCGCUCAGCAUAAUUUGAAAAGCAGUCGAAUGGCACGGAUUAGUUACAUUCUGGUCCCUGUAUAGGCUGCCAUUUUGCAGCACACAUGGGAAGUUCAGUGAUUGGCAUUUUUAAUUUUUUUUUAAUAUAUUUCAAUACAUUUUAUGCAUUUCCUUCAUAUUACACCAAGUUGACCUAUUAAGGAUUUUAAACUUAUGUUAAAAGAUAAACUGCCCAAACCACUCUAAUGAUAUUAUUGGAUUUACUAGAGCAGCAUCUUCAUUAGCAGUAAGAUCAUUUUAAUUGGCUCUGAUAAACUGCUCUUAUUGGCUUUAAAUAAUAAGCUUUGUUGAGCAGGAAGCACUACUCUGGCUUUUAAAUCAGUUUGCUUACCUGUGUCAAUCGUUGCUAUGUUCCUCUGUGUUGUAUAGUGCAUGGAGGAAUUGGCUGGCGGGUUCACAUAUUGCAAAUUUCAUGUCAAAAUAGCUGCGCUCCACCCAUUAUACUAACCAUCCUAUAAUAAUAUUCUGACUGCAUCAUACCAUUCUAACUCCCCAGCUUAUAAUAAUAUUCUGACUGCAUAAUAACAUCAUAACCUAUAGUAAUUGUAACGGAGCUCCCUGUACCCUGACUGGGUACCUCCGCCAAGGACCACUUCCUAGCUGGAACAGGGGACAAACUGCAGCACUUCUGCCCACAGUCGCCGUAGCUUUGCUGGGGCCCUGGAACCACUCUUUACUGGAGCCGAAUGGUUAAGACUAAUUGCAGUCAAAACUAUGACUUCCAGGAAAUUCCUGAUCUGAUCUGGGUGACUUUUGGAUAUGUUGGUCACCCAGAUCAGGGCUAUUGGGGGAUGUAACUUUUGUGGGGUUUUUAUGUAUUUUCUGUGCUUGGAGAUAAUUAGAUUUUUACAGUUCCUGAUCCAAUUAUCUCCCAGGCACAGAGUAGGGAUUAUCUGUAUGGGAGUGUCCAGGACAUGAGAGCCAAUGUGAUUGUGCAUUUAUUUCUACUGUGGUUUAGUCACAGGUCCAGGGGGGAGUGCCCUUUGCAUGGGGACCUGCAUGUAAGGCCAGUUGUGGCUACCAUUAAACUGAGAUUUGUUUCACCCUUCAUGAAGUCUAGGCUCAUGUUUGGGGGAUUGGAGAGCUAUAUUCACUCUGGGGAUUGCUAUAAUCAUUAUACUCCCUUGGAUCACAACACUUACUCUUAUAAGAGCAGCCUGCUUCGCUCUGUGGACUAGUAGAGGUCUACCCACUGGGAGCUGGAUUCUGGUCUUGGGUCCAGAGUGGGUGGAGGACAGCAAGACCCCAACCAAGCUGCGGCGGUUUGUGGGGUUUACGGUUUUCCAUUGCAGUGCUUAUGGUGCUCGCAAGUACUAGGAAGCAGCGAUUGAUGGAGGUACCCGGUCGGGGUGCCAGGCAGUCUGUCACAAUAGCAUUCUAACUCCCCGACCUAUAGUAACAUUCUGAUUGCAUUAUAACAUUCUAACUAUUGUCCCUGAGUCUGAAAAAACACAUGCUGUGUUGCCGGGGCAUCACAGCAUGGCGCGCCAGGGAGCAGUGCUGGAAGAUGAUGAAGAGUCCAGCUGCUUCUCCGCCUCCAUUCUCCCUCAGCUGCCCUACUACUGUUGUGGGUGCCGAGGUGGCCAGCCGGCCUGCUUUUGGCUUACCCUCUGCAUGCGAUCUGCAUACCCCCUGGAGUACACGUACCACUUGUGGAGAAACUAGGUGGUGGACUAUACAAAGAAAUAGUUUUCAUUCCUGUGUAGUUUGGUGCUGAUUUACUGCGUUCUAGAAUAUGUCCAAUUUUCUACUUAAUGCUAUACAUAUAUGUGAAAGGUCAGUAUGCACUGCCCUCUUCUGGUGGUUUGUUAACGCUGUCCAGUGUGGUUUCUUUUUCUAUGGUGAUAUGGUGAUCUUUUGACAGAUGCAGGUCUCACAAAUGCAAGGUUAAUCCAUCUGGAGUGGUCUCUUGAGGAGGGGUGGGGGGGGGGAGGAAGAAGCUUGCUGAACAUGUUGUCUGUCAGCUGGUGUGUUUGUUACCAGGCUCAAAGAGCAAUUAAAUGGUGUAGAGACUGCACGGUAAGAGUCUGUAAUGGAUGUUACACACACAGUUCGGCCUUUUCCAAUGCAUUCCUUGCUACAAAUAAAGUCUCACGUUACAAACCACAGCUGCUGAUUUACCCAGGAAGAGCUGUCAGCAAGGUUAACCCUUUAACAUGUGCAUUUAGCCAUUUAGUUAUACAAAAAUAGAUUCUUUAUAUCCCUCAAAGUUAUAAAGAAAACACAAGUGCCCUUCUUUAAUCAGGCUCAGUCUAUUAGUGCACGUAAAAACAAGAAUAAGGAAGAAAAAAAUUUGCUCUGUCUUGCGGUAUUGGAAGUAUUGGUAGUUGCCCUUCCUCAGCUGGCUAAGAUCAACAAUAAUGAUGAUCUCAGCCGGUCCAAUGCUUCCCCAUAGUGUACUUGCGUGGCGAUUGCUGUGCUGCGUCAGUCUCAAUACAUCUCUAAGGGGAGUGUCUAUUGUUUACAUGCAGAGCAUGGAGGCGCCAGAGGUUAGUCCUGCAAUCUUUGUAGGACCUCAUCCAGGAAGUACCUCUAGUGGCUUCAAUGUAUUGCCAACCCCCAAAUGGAUUAUUUACUAAAAACCAAACUAUAGAAAAUUAAAUGAAAAUUGCAAAUUUGUUGAUAAAAUGGCCAGAUUGCCACUAUGCCCUUGUUUACAUUUCAGUAAAUUUACAUAAACCAUGUUCGUGAUUACACGUUGUUAUAUAUCCAAACAUGUCACUUGAGAUAAGUUACUGUUACGGCUUGGGAAAUCAGUGAAGGAUGACCCAGCAAAAUUCCUCUUUUGUCUGCACGGAAAAGAAAAUAUUCUACUUGUAUAAACUUAGCGAAGGCGUGCAUGCUCGCUCUGUAAACACUUUCACUGAUUAAAUAAAUGAUUUACCAUUGACCUGAUUUGUAAUUUUGUUUUGUUUUUUUCUUUCCAGGUGGCAUUGGUGGUAUUUAAACAGUUAUGGCGUUUGCAGCACCGAAGAACACAGAUGGAGCCAAGUUACAAACCAAAAUGAGCACAUGGACUCCAUUAAACCACCAGCUCAUGAAUGACAAGGUGACUGCGGAA
rnacentral:lncRNA from 1 species